rnacentral:rRNA from 1 species
CCUACGGGAGGCAGCAGUAGGGAAUCUUUCACAAUGGGCGAAAGCCUGAUGGAGCAACGCCGCGUGCAGGAUGAAGGCCUUCGGGUUGUAAACUGCUUUUAUAAGCGAGAAAUAUGAUGGUAACUUAUGAAUAUGGAUCUGCUAACUACGUGCCAGCAGCCGCGGUCAUACGUAGGAUCCGAGCAUUUUCCGGAGUGACUGGGUGUAAAGAGUUGCGUAGGUUGGAUAAUAAGUAGCUAGUGAAAUCUGGUGGCUCAACCAUUCAGACUAUUCGCUAAACUGGUAAGCUCGAGACCGUUAGGGGUAACUGGAAUGUGUAGUGUAGGAGUGAAAUCCGUAGAUAUUAGAAGGAACACCAAUAGCGUAGGCAGGUUGCUGGGACGGUUCUGACACUAAGGCACGAAAGCGUAGGGAGCAAACGGGAUUAGAUACCCCUGUAGUC